UCGAGAAUAUUCCACAAUGGACGAAAGUCUGAUGGAGCGACGCCGCGUGCAGGAUGAAGGCCUUAGGGUCGUAAACUGCGGUAGUACAGCAGCAAUGCAAAUGAGCGCUGUACGGAAAGAGGUGGGUAACUACGUGCCAGCACCAGCGGUAAUACGUAGACCUCAAGCGUUAUCCGGAUUUAUUGGGCGUAAAGCGUGUGUAGGCGGGUCGUUAAGUUGGGGGUGAAAUCCCGAGGCUCAACCUCGGAACUGCCUUCAAAACUGGCGACCUGGACCUAAGUAGAGGCAAGUGGAAUUGCGAGUGUAGAGGUGAAAUUCGUAGAUAUUCGCAGGAACACCAGUGGCGAAGGCGACUUGCUGGACUUAUGGUGACGCUGAGACGCGAAAGCGUGGGGAGCAAACAGGAUUAGAUACCCAUGUAGUCCCUGAGCGGGCUGGCAAGGCGCAU
rnacentral:rRNA from 1 species